AGAAGUGAGGGUGUUCUGGCUGUGACAUCUGUCACCCUAGUCAUUGUUAGGGUUGAUCCAGCUGAUCUGGUUGGCUAAGCAGGUGUUCCAUGCUUCCCUCAACUCACCAAAUGUGUCCCUCCCAAAGCUGUGUGCUUGGUUGAAGAGGAUGACCUUUCCAAAUAAAGAAGAACUCUUCUUUGGUCAAGGAUACAUCGUAGGUCUUCUCCCCAACUAGAGCCUGCAAAUAAGCUCUCAAGAAAUGCAGAAUCUCAGGCACCACAGCAGACUAACUGACUCAGAGUCAUCUACAUUUUAAU
rnacentral:snRNA from 1 species